rnacentral:rRNA from 1 species
GAAGUAUCUUGGUAUGUAAACCUCUUUUCUCAAGAAAGAAGUUCUGACGGUACUUGAGGAAUAAGCAUCGGCUAACUCCGUGCCAGCAGCCGCGGUAAUACGGAGGAUCCAAGCGUUAUCCGGAAUCAUUGGGUUUAAAGGGUCCGUAGGUGGAUAGAUAAGUCAGAGGUGAAAUCCUGCAGCUCAACUGUAGAAUUGCCUUUGAUACUGGUCGUCUUGAAUUAUUGUGAAGUGGUUAGAAUAUGUAGUGUAGCGGUGAAAUGCAUAGAUAUUACAUAGAAUACCGAUUGCGAAGGCAGAUCACUAACAAUAUAUUGACACUGAUGGACGAAAGCGUGGGGAGCGAACGGGAUUAGAUACCCCGGUAGUCCACGCCGUAAACGAUGGUCACUAGCUGUUCGGACUUCGGUCUGAGUGGCUAAGCGAAAGUGAUAAGUGACCCACCUGGGGAGUACGUUCGCAAGAAUGAAACUCAAAGGAAUUGACGGGGGCCCGCACAAGCGGUGGAGCAUGU